ensembl:rRNA 5S_rRNA 5S ribosomal RNA
UCCACCAGCCAUAUCACCCUGCAACUCACAACUGGCAACCCACUGAAGCUAAGCGGGUGUGAGCCUGGUCAGUACCUGGAUGGGAGACCUCCUGGGAAAAACUAAGGUUGCUGCAGGAA